AUGGCUUCCUCUCUUGGAGGUCAGAGGCUCAAAGGCUUCGCACAACGACCUGCUACUAGUACUCGUGGUGGCAUCCUGCUUUUGUGGGACGAAGACCUCGUCGAGGUUAAGGACAUUAACACUGGAACUUUCUUCCUCUCUGCUACAAUCACCAUUAUCCGUAUCGACACUUCCUUCAAGUUCACAACCGUCUAUGGACCAACUCACAGCAACCUCAAAGACAUUUUCUUCCAAGAGUUGAUCUCUAAGAAGCCUACUCCUGGUACUAGAUGGCUGCUAGCCGGUGACUUUAAUCAGAUUUAUCGCACAAAGAGACAAGAACCACGGUAA
rnacentral:rRNA from 1 species